GGUUUAAUAACUAGUCUAUUUAGUUUACGAAAUAGUGAUAGUACUAGUGUUAGGUUUAAGAAAUAAUCAGUGUUUAGUUUACAAGAUUUUCAGUUUAAGAAAUAGUUAGUGUUUAGUUUACGAAAUAGUAAUAGUACUAGUGUUCAGUUUAAGAAAUAGUUAGUGUUCAGUUUACGAAAUAGUCAGUGUUCAGUUUAAGAAGUAG
rnacentral:lncRNA from 1 species